rnacentral:rRNA from 1 species
AGUGAACGCUGGCGGUAGGCCUAACACAUGCAAGUCGAACGGCAGCACAGUAAGAGCUUGCUCUUACGGGUGGCGAGUGGCGGACGGGUGAGGAAUACAUCGGAAUCUUCUUUUUCGUGGGGGAUAACGUAGGGAAACUUACGCUAAUACCGCAUACGACCUACGGGUGAAAGCAGGGGAUCUUCGGACCUUGCGCGAUUGAAUGAGCCGAUGUCGGAUUAGCUAGUUGGCGGGGUAAAGGCCCACCAAGGCGACGAUCCGUAGCUGGUCUGAGAGGAUGAUCAGCCACACUGGAACUGAGACACGGUCCAGACUCCUACGGGAGGCAGCAGUGGGGAAUAUUGGACAAUGGGCGCAAGCCUGAUCCGGCCAUACCGCGUGGGUGAAGAAGGCCUUCGGGUUGUAAAGCCCUUUUGUUGGGAAAGAAAAGCAGCAGGUUAAUACCCCGCUGUUCUGACGGUACCCAAAGAAUAAGCACCGGCUAACUUCGUG